rnacentral:rRNA from 1 species
GAUGAACGCUGGCGGCGUGCCUAAUACAUGCAAGUAGAACGCUGAAGGAAGGAGCUUGCUCUUUCCGGAUGAGUUGCGAACGGGUGAGUAACGCGUAGGUAACCUGCCUGGUAGCGGGGGAUAACUAUUGGAAACGAUAGCUAAUACCGCAUAACAGUAGAUGUUGCAUGAUAUCUACUUAAAAGGUGCAAUUGCACCACUACCAGAUGGACCUGCGUUGUAUUAGCUAGUUGGUGUGGUAACGGCUCACCAAGGCGACGAUACAUAGCCGACCUGAGAGGGUGAUCGGCCACACUGGGACUGAGACACGGCCCAGACUCCUACGGGAGGCAGCAGUAGGGAAUCUUCGGCAAUGGACGGAAGUCUGACCGAGCAACGCCGCGUGAGUGAAGAAGGUUUUCGGAUCGUAAAGCUCUGUUGUAAGAGAAGAACGAGUGUGAGAGUGGAAAGUUCACACUGUGACGGUAUCUUACCAGAAAGGGACGGCUAACUACGUG